AAAUCUGAUUUCCUGAUGCAGCAGAUAAUAAAGACUCUGUGCUGAUUUAACAGGUGGAGGACUGAUGCCUAUCAUCGUUGGUGUUCUCGUGGCUCUCGUUGUUCUCGUUGCCGUUGUUGCUGGAAUUAUGGUCUGGAAGAAGAAGAACUCUGGCUUCAAACGUGCUCCAUCUUCUGAAGGAGAUUCUUCCUCUGACAAGUCUUAAAGUGUGACUGUGUGUCUUCCUGCUGAACUGAGAGAGAGAGACCAGGAGAUGGAGAUGAGGACCACACACACACACACACACACACACACA